GACGGAGGAUGCAAGUGUUAUCCGGAAUCACUGGGCGUAAGCGUCUGUAGGUGGUUCGAAAAGUCCACUGUUAAAAUUGAAGCUUAACUUCAAAGAUGCCGUGGAAACUUUCAAACUAGAGUGUGGUAGGGGUAGAGGGAAUUUCCGAGUGGAGCGGUGAAAUGCGUAGAUAUCGGGAGGAACACCAGUGGCGAAGGCGGCAUCCGUCGGCCCUGUCCUGACGCUCGGGGCGAAAGGCGUGGG
rnacentral:rRNA from 1 species